AUGGUCUAUCAUGUGUGCAAGGCCACAGUUCAACUACAUUUUGUGCAAGAAAUGAUAGAGCAGCUACAAUCUAAUUCCAAUGAAGAAUCUGAUUCUGAUAGUGAACAGCAUGAGCAGUCUUCAGUUCAUUCCAUCAGGUUAUCUGCUGCAGCUAUGGGAAAGGAACCAGAAGUCCCAGUUUUACAAUUAGAGAUUGAUUUGCAAGGCCACAAAUUUCAAUUCCUAGUUGACUCGGGCAGUACACACUCUUUCAUGGAUUUGCAACACAGUUCCUUUGCAGGGGUCAUCCCAAUUAAAACACUCACUGUUACAGUAGCUGGUGGCUCAACAAUUCAGUGCCAACAACAAAUCAAAAAUUUUGUGUGGCAGUGCAAUGGUGCUAAAUUCAUUUCAGAUUUCAAGUUGUUGCCCCUGCAAACCUAUGAUGGCAUAUUGGGGUUGGACUCGCUGGCCCAACACAGUCCUAUGUAUGUCGAUUGGGUUGAAAAAUGGUUAUCAUUUAACAAGGAGGGACAGACAGUCACUUUACAUGGCAUUAGAUCUGAAGAGUGUUCUUACACCUGUGUUUCCAUAUUUGCAAUUCAAGUUGAAGGACAAGCUGCUAUCACUCCAGAAAUUCAGUUGUUGUUGCAAGAAUUUGCUGAUGUGUUUGAAACUCCUACUCAGUUACCUCCUAGAAGAGAUUGUGACCACAAGAUCAAUUUAAUUCCAGGAGCUAGACCAAUAACAGUUAGACCAUACAGAAUAGCACCACAGUUAAAGGAUGAACUUGAAAAACAAAUUGCAGAGAUGUUGAAGUCAGGUGUCAUCAGGCCCAGCAAAAGCCCUUUCUCUUCUCCAGUAAUUCUGGUUAAGAAAAAAGGGGGAGAAUGGAGAUUAGUAGUGGACUACAGAAUGCUAAAUGCUAUCACAAUCAAAGGGAAAUUCCCAGUACAUUUGAUUGAUAAACUUCUGGAUGAAUUAGCUGGUGCUGCUUGGUUCACUAAAAUAGAUCUCAGGGCUGGUUAUCAUCAGAUCAGAUUGGCUGCAGGGGAGGAAUAA
rnacentral:rRNA from 1 species